CCAGACUCCUACGGGAGGCAGCAGUGAGGAAUAUUGGUCAAUGGCCGAGAGGCUGAACCAGCCAAGUCGCGUGAGGGAAGAAUGUCCUAUGGAUUGUAAACCUCUUUUGUCAGGGAGCAAAGUCACCCACGUGUGGGUGUUGGAGAGUACCUGAAGAAAAAGCAUCGGCUAACUCCGUGCCAGCAGCCGCGGUAAUACGUAGGUGGCAAGCGUUAUCCGGAUUUACUGGGUGUAAAGGGCGUGUAGGCGGGAAAGCAAGUCAGAUGUGAAAACCAUGGGCUCAACCUGUGGCCUGCAUUUGAAACUGUUUUUCUUGAGUACUGGAGAGGCAGACGGAAUUCCUAGUGUAGCGGUGAAAUGCGUAGAUAUUAGGAGGAACACCAGUGGCGAAGGCGGUCUGCUGGACAGCAACUGACGCUGAGGCGCGAAAGCGUGGGGAGCAAACAGGAUUAGAUACCCCCGUA
rnacentral:rRNA from 1 species